CAACGCUUUGCCGCCAGAAGAGCAAAGCUGUGCGCUACGUGCAGGGGGGAUCCCGCGGCCCGGCGGGUCCUGCCUUGCUGAGCAUCGCGGCGAGGCCCCGCGGCUGCAAACCCGGCUGCAACCCGUGCCGGAUCCUGGCUGCAGCCUGCGUGCACCCACUGCAAGCCGCGUGCGUCCACCUGCAAUGGUAGGGCAUCCACACGCUGCAGCCCGCAUGCACCCAACCGCAAUGGUAGGGCAUCCACACGCUGCAGCCCGCGUGCAUCCAUCCGCUGCAGCCCGCGUGCAUCCACCCGUUGCAACCCUCGUGCACCCACCCAGCUGCAUCCCGCCUGCGCCCACCCGCUGCAACCCCCGUGCACCCACCCAGCGCCUCCUCCCCAAGGCCCAACACAAGGCGCAGCCAGAGCCCCAAACAAGAUCCCAACUGACCCAAACACCCUGCGCAGCGUUUGCCAUCUUUGCCCCGGUUUGAGCAUCGGGGAUGCGAUAGAGGAUUUAACUGGAGGACCAGAACUCGGCUGCUGGGGAGGGUCUGAAAAACUCGGUGAGUCAGAGCAGAGCCUCGGCUGGGUGAAGUCGGUGAAGUCGCACAGAUUCACGCCAGAUGAGCCGCUGGUCCCCGCUCUUCCUUCUCCCUGCGCGUUCCCGGAGAGGCUCCGUUCAAGCUGUGAGUUUCAAUGUUUUAGGAAUUUCACUUUGUGUUUUGAGCUCGAACAUCCUAAAAUCUCGCCGAAGAAAUGUGAAUGAGUCCGCGGAGCCUCUCCCAGCGCCGUGCUGCGAGCAGACUUUGUUUCCGUGCGCUCGCCUGGCGUGCGUCUGGCUUUGCCCAGCAGCGCGUGGAUUUGAGCGCAGCUUUGAGCGAAGCUCUUUCCUUUAACUUCAGGUAAUUUUCGGUAGAGACUCCGUGAAGCUAUGAUGUUUUUUGCGGGCUUAGAAACGGGGUUCAGCCGUGAGGCAUACGCAGGUUCAUCAUGGAAGCGGAAUUUGAUCUGGCCUUCCCUGAAUUCAGCAGGUAUCUGGUGUCGAGCCGGGGCGAUUGGUUCAGAUCGGCAUCAUGGUUUAUACAGGGCUCCUGGACUGGCAGAAGUCUGUGUGCAGCAUAAAAUCCUAACUUAAAAAAAAAGCGGAAAAAAAAAGGAGAAAAAAAGGGAUGCUUUUCCUAAGGAAAGGGAUUGCACUGCAGGUCAAAACUCUGAAAUUAAAGAGUCAGAAGUCCUUUCAGCAAASAAAGGCAUGUGUGGAAAGUGUUAUCCUUUUGAAGUGUAUUCACUUAUUCUGCAAUUGCUUCACCCCACUCCCUGGCGCUUGCCGGGGUUGACCAGGUGGCUCCCUUUGCAGCGACCCCCGUGCACUGAGCAGUUCCCCAAAUGCAGCUUUUCUGGCYGCAAGCAGCCAACUCUGCCACCCCGCUCUCGCUGCCCAGGGGAGAUUUCUGCUGGUCACCGCUUCGUGCUCCCGGCGGGGACUCGCUCUCGUUUCCCAGCGCUGCAAACCGCAGCCUUUUAUCUGCGGCCCCAGACACCGGCCGUGACAAGCAGAGCCGACGUGAGCAUGCC
ensembl:lncRNA